rnacentral:rRNA from 1 species
GUCGAACGCUGGCGGCAUGCCUAAUACAUGCAAGUCGAGCGAAGCGGCGGAUGGGUGAGUUACGCGUGGGGAACCUGCCUUUAAGCUUGGGAUACCAUUUGGAACCAGAUGCUAACACCGGAUCCUAAACGAUGCACCUGCAUUGCAUUAGCUAGGUGGUAAGGUACCGGCUUACCCAGGCGAUGAUGCAUAGCCGAGUUGAGAGGCUGAUCGGCCACAUUGGGACUGAGACACGGCCCAAACUCCUACGGUAGGCAGCAGUAGGGAAUAUUCCACAAUGGACGAAAGUCUGAUGGAGCAACGCCGCGUGAGUGAAGAAGGUUUUCGGAUCGUAAAGCUCUUUUGUUCGUGAAGCGGUAAUCAACCAGAAAGUCACGGCUAACUACGUGCCAGCAGCCGCGGUAAUUC